GGCUCGCUGUGCGCGCGAGGGGGCGUGGCUCCGGGAACCGCCCCUGAUCCCUGGUUGGCCCGGGCAGGGCAACUCCUCGGGCUGGGCUUCUGUGCUCCUCAGCGGCUCUUCCCGGUCCCGGCCGGGCCUCCCUCCUCCCGGACCCUGCUUCCGAGGAUGGGUACUGGAUCCUCAGUGCUGGAGUCAGAAAGUGGCGUCGCGAAUUGGCCCCACUCGUCACUCCCCUCCCCGGCCCUGGACGUCCGGAAGUUGCUGGCAGCUCCGCGUUGCGCGUGCGCAAUGCUCCUGUCGGCUGUGUGCAGGGUUACGCUGACGGUGACGCACACACACGGCAGGGCACCGGGAGCUCCUCGCACAAACCUGGGGUCCGGGGGCGUCCUAAGGAAAUUAAUGUGAGACCCUGGCGAUGGCGAAAAUCACACGCGUGCACAAAACACCUGCGCAGGUCUUCAGCUGCGCUUGUGUGAAUAUACGAAACCAGGAGGAAGUAGAAGCCUUUUGCAAAACAAGAAAAACCCUCCAGGCUGUCCUGAGAAGGAAACAGCUCUUACUGCCGACCUAAUUUAGUUAUCCGUGGAGGGUAUUUACGAGGACGCACACCAGCAGAUAAAGUUUUACAGGCCUUUUAUUACUUUCCAUCCACCACUCCGCACCCGUUCUCCCACAGCGUCAGGAAAGGGACUGGUAGCCCGAAGGAGGAAGGGUUGGCCACUGACGGGCCCUUUGGGCUCCUAAGAGUAGUUCUGUGUCUCCGACGCCCAACUCUGCCUUGCAGUAGGGCAGCCCUUAGCAAAGUCUCUUUGGGAACAUCAGUCUAGGGAUGGGUACUUCUUAAGGCAGCAGUUCUAGAGCUAGCCUAUCCGUGUCCAGCCCCUGACCUUUCCGUGCUUGCCAUCUUGUAAUCUUGAACAGGACUCUCUACCUGACAGCCAGCCGGCUGAGUCUGGUUAUCCUUUGACAUGAAUAUUUGGCAUACUUGUGCUUUUUAAACUGGAAGAGAAGAAUCUUCAUUUCCUACAUUCGGGAUGCUGAAGAACUAAGUAACGAAUAAAAAGUAAAUCACUACAUGAUAGAGAAUAUAAAGGUUUAAAAUUCUUGCCCUGUGACAUUUUCAUUCGUAGCUGCAAAGUAUUUGAUCCAGCACACAUAUUUUUAGAAUAACAGCUAAUAGAUUCUGGUGAGUUUCAAACUGGGCAGGAGUUUGAGCAGAGACGCGACGCAAAAUUGUUGGUGAAUUUUGAAAAAAUAUAUUUUUUUCUAAUCUUGCGUGGUGAUGCAUACUUGUAAUCCCAGUGAUUUGGGAGGCUGAGAUAGGAGGAUUGCAAAUUUGAGGACAACCUUAGCAAUUUAAUGAGACUAUCAGCAACUUAAUGAGACACUGACUCAAAAGAAAAAAUUAAAGAGGCCUGGGAAUGUAACUCAGUGGUAAAGUGCCCCUGUAUUCAAUCCCCCAUACAAAAAAAGAAAAAUGGAUUCCUUUUCUGUACCAUUGCAAUGAGUCUUGGAACCUACAUGUGUGAUAAUAUUCCAGUGUGCUCUUGGUUUGCUUGUUUAGAAAAGAAAGCAAAGAGGAAAGUGCCCAGGUUUGAAGACAAGGAUUGAGUUCAUCAUUUAGUAGCUGGAUGUUUGAAAGAAUUACACAUAAUUUGCUGCUGAUUCUCAUAUAUACAGAAUGAAGAUGGUAAACCUACACCUACCCUGGAUACAUGAGAUUUAAAUGUCAAAAACUUUUGGAAAACCCUAAAGUGUUGCACAGAUCUCUCUCUUUUUUUUUUUUAAUGUGGUGCUGAGGAUCGAAUCCAGUGUCUCACACAUGCCAGGAUGAUUAACAGACCUGUGAACCUGGAAAGGGGCAAUUUGGUUCCCAUGAGAUGACUGUCUCUGCUUACUGUCAUUCUUCUCAUGGGGUAACCUCUCUGCAAGGCUCCACUGUUCCUGGAAGGUUUACGACACUGUCUGAAGAUUUCCAGGUGCUGCUGCAGAAGGAAGUUGUAAAAGCUCCUCAACCAUUGAAGGAAGAGAAGGGAAGGAAGGGCUUUACCUGCCUCAAUCUGAAGUUGUUCUGAAGGGUGUGGAACCUCAGACUAGGGCAGCAGCCUGAGCACAUCACACUGAUCUAUUCCUUCUUCUUUCCUGGGAAUGUGUCUACAGGAUUAGAAUUAGCAUCUCCAUCCUCCAGGAAACCUGAGCAAUCCUACACAUCUAGGCACCUUUGGGCAGAUGCAUCAAUGUGCAAAUGUGACUUGUGUCAGAGCUCUGGUGUUGCACCGGAGCACACUCACACCAACUCACAAAGACCCAGCUUUGUGUACAUCUCUCCAACUCCAUUAAGAGAUAUGUCUGUAGCUUGAAAUCACCAUUGUGGGAAUGUCUAUACCACAGAAAUCAAUAGCUGCUACAAAUCAGGUUAUUGGCUAUGGCUGUUUUAAAGAAAGCCACCUGUUCAACAUUUACCAGCACACCACUGGGUACAGGUUUUAUGUACCUGAGAAUGUCAGUGGUCUAUACCUGUGUCUAUCUGUGUAUAAGUACAUUUAUAAAAGUGCCUACCUGUGUAGUGAGUUCAAUUUUUUAGAGUCUACAAACUCAGGGGUACAAAAAUGUAACUAUUUUCCUACAAUAAACUUGAUUUCUGUCUUAA